rnacentral:rRNA from 1 species
GACGAACGCUGGCGGCGUGCUUAACACAUGCAAGUCGAGCGGUAAGGCCCUUUCGGGGUACGACGAGCGGCGAACGGGUGAGUAACACGUGGGUGACCUGCCCUCCAGCUCUGGGAUAAGCCUGGGAAACCGGGUCUAAUACUGGAUAUGACUCCAUGACGCAUGUUGUGGGGUGGAAAGCCUUGUGCGGCUGAGGAUGGGCCCGCGGCCUAUCAGCUUGUUGGUGGGGUGAUGGCCUACCAAGGCGACGACGGGUAGCCGGCCUGAGAGGGCGACCGGCCACACUGGGACUGAGACACGGCCCAGACUCCUACGGGAGGGCAGCAGUGGGGAAUCUUGCGCAAUGGGCGAAAGCCUGACGCAGCGACGCCGCGUGAGGGAUGACGGCCU